GCCAGACACAGGGAAGAAAAGACACAGUCAGUCUGCCUGAGGUCUGUGCAGACACACCCUUGCCUGCAAUUUGGCUAUUGGGGGAGGCCUCAGCCACAGGCUGCUGGAGGAGAGAAAAGCAGAUUCCAGCGGCUAGCUGAACUUGUCUAGCCUGGAGUCCUCUAGGAAUGGGAAGAAACAGCCAACGGAGACUGUCCCAGAAAGCUCGGGAGUUCUGUUGCUAUCCAAACGACUCCUUCAUUCUUUGAAGGUGAAGCUUCCACAUCAAGCAGACUGGUAUCCUCGGGAAGACUGGAAUUCCAAGCCAUCGGCAAGUGUCCGAUCAGUUGCCAGCUUUGGUUGGACCUUGGGUCUCCCAUCAGCUCACUUUCUGGCUUGCCAAACAGAUGUAAAGAUCCUCCAAGGCUCCAUCUUCAAUCUGACCCUGUUCUCUGUUACCACCCCAUGGGAGAGAAUAGAAAGGAUGGUCAAAGGGAAGCUGAGGGACUAUUGUUCUAAAAUCAUCAACAAGAGUAGACCACAAGACUGAAAGACAGACUGGGGAUGAGCCACGGUGGGGAUAAGUAAUGGAAGCUCCUUCCAUCCAGAUUUCAGCCCUAAGGUAUGAUGAAAUAGACAUGUGCUGGGAGAUGGCCAGGCAUUGCGUCCUGGGUCCUUCAUGCCCAGGUCUGAUGAGGUCUUUGUGCAGACAUUGAGGGUACUGACUGACACGUCUCCUGAAUAGGGCAUUGCCGUGGGCAUGCCACAGAGCCUUUUAUACCACAUCGUUGAUGAUUGAGUUCAUAUCUGUCAACUACAUCCUUGGGGGCAUCGUCCCUGGAGAGAGCUCUGGCCAUCUGUGCCUUGGAGGGAGCUAUGGGACCCAGAGGAUGACAGAAGAAGGAGACAUGGUGGAGCGGUGAGUUCCUUGCCCAAACUGGGAUCUUGGGACUACAGGACAAUGAGCUGGUAGGUGGAGAACGUUGGUGGGAGAACAACAGGGAUGCUUUGGGAUCAAGUCAUCUGGACCAAGCGGGAGUCAGAGCUGAGGACCAGCCAAGGACAGAGCCAUGGUACAGAGGAGCAAACCCAGACCUCACCGAUCACUGAUCCACAUGUGGUAUGAAUUGGAGGCCCUUCCUCAUCCUGCCUGCCCUCCUGGAGGAAUUUCCAUCUGAUCGAUGUCCUUCUUGAUCUGUGGUGCUGGGACCUUGCUAUAAUCCUCCAGAUGGCUUUGCCAGGCCUGAGGACAGCAGGGUUACCACCUCUGUAGCCAGGACAUCGAGGCUCUCUCUCUCUCUCUCUCUCUCUCUCUCUCUCUCUCUCUCUCUCUCUCUCUCUCUCUCUCUCUCUCUGUCUCGGUGCAGAUCAAGAACAUGUUAGCCCCUGAAAGCAUUUCCUGGACUGUAUUCCAAGGCUAAACAAUUGUAGUAUUUGUACAUCCCUGCCAUUAAAUGCCUAUCACAAGAUAAUUGUGUUGGAUUUGGGCCUUUUCUGGCAAAAGCUUGACUUGUAGCAUGCCUGGAAGAAGGAUGGUUGCACACACUUAGGCACAGUGGGUAGUUAGCUAGCUUAUAUAGUAUGAGCUGAGAACCCUGUCUGUCCCCAAUUCUCAUCUAGCAGCUUGUUUCAGGAACACUCUCCCUUCUUACUUGAUCUAAAAGUACCCUCAGCAUCCCUCUUUUGGGUUAGGCAAUACAAAUGAGGGCAUUGU